UACGUAGGGGGCAAGCGUUGUCCGGAUUUAUUGGGCGUAAAGAGCGUGUAGGCGGCUAGGUAGGUCCGUUGUGAAAACUCGAGGCUCAACCUCGAGCUGUCGAUGGAAACCAUCUGGCUAGAGUCCGGAAGAGGAGAGUGGAAUUCCUGGUGUAGCGGUGAAAUGCGCAGAUAUCAGGAGGAACACCAAUGGCGAAGGCAGCUCGCUGGGACGUGACUGACGCUGAGACGCGAAAGCGUGGGGAGCAAACAGG
rnacentral:rRNA from 1 species